UACGGAGGGUGCAAGCGUUGUUCGGAAUUAUUGGGCGUAAAGGGCGCGUAGGUGGUUGUGAUAGUCAGAUGUGAAAUCCUCUGGCUCAACUGGAGAACUGCAUCUGAAACUUCAUAACUCGAGUACAGGAGAGGGAAACGGAAUUCCCGGUGUAGAGGUGAAAUUCGUAGAUAUCGGGAGGAACACCAGUGGCGAAGGCGGUUUCCUGGCCUGAUACUGACACUGAGGCGCGAAAGCGUGGGGAGCAAACAGGAUUAGAUACCCUGGUAGUCCACGCGGUAAACGGUGAACACUAGGUGUGGGAGGUGUAAUACCUUCUGUGCCGAAGCUAACGCGUUAAGUGUUCCGCCUGGGAAGUACGGCCGCAAGGUUGAA
rnacentral:rRNA from 1 species